ACGUCACAGAAGAGGAGGGCAGAAAGAAUCUAAGAGUGGGGAGGGGAGCUGUGAAGUGCUGUCUUCUGGAUCUGACAUGGCUGUCACACCCACAAGCUCACAGCAGCUCUGGUUGCCUGCCGGAAGUCAAGUCAGUCAACAGACAGAACCAACUGGAUGAAUAGGUUAAUGAAGAGAAAAAGAAAAGGACACGAAGCCGGCUUGGAUGGUAGAGGAUGAUGUCCCCAAAAGAUUCAAAUGUGACCCGGAUAUGUCUGCAUGAAGUCUCGACUUUAAGGGGAGAGCCUUCCCAGGUACUCACGGAAGCAUCCCAGGGUCUCCAUGUAUGCAACCUCAGCUUUAGAGCUGUGUCCAGACCCAGGAGGCACCACAGCGCCAUUUGGAAAGUCCCAGAAGGACCUGCCAACAGCCAUCCCAGAGAAUGUUCACUCAGCUAUCCUGUUUUGUCAAGUGCUGUGGCAAAAGUCAGCUGUGUGCUUUACAGACAGAUAAGUGAAGAUAUAUAUAUAUAUAUUGGUGAGGGGCUCUUGCUAUGUAUCAGAAUGAGCAGGCGGGGACACUGCCGCAACCUGUGUAGGAACAGGUAGGCGAUGGUGCAAGUCCUGGAUCCUGGCCAAGUAUGCAUUCAGGAUCCAGAGACUCUGCUCGCCUGUACCACUGGCUAGAUGCAACACUCCCUGUCAUGUGUCCCUUGCCCCCAAGGGUCCUACUGUUUAAACUUUUUGGUUCUACUUAUCCCAUUGGUUGCCAUGAGAGAGCUGUAUCUCACUUCGCUAAAUGAAUAACUCAAGGUAAUUGAGUCAGACUGCCCAAGCCCUAAAACCAGACUGCUUGCUUAGUAAAAUCAUUUAGAAAUGCCAAACAGCCCACAGUGGAGAGAGAAAUCAGGUGACAGGCUAAGAAAAGAUAGAGAGAGGCGGGCACGAUCUGAACAGGCUUUCUACGCCCAUCGGAUGCUCGCCUCCCUUCAGCUCUGAGCUCAAGGGAAUCACAGGCUCUGGGUGUCUAACUGACAAUCAUAUGACUCCAGUGGGCGUGUCUUCUAAAACAGCUCCUAAUGAGUUUUCAGAGCACAGCUGCAGAAAUGCUGAAAGGAUACUUGCGAGACCAGUUUUUGGAUGCGUUUUAAAAAUCAACUUCCAGUUUUCAUGAGCUGGGCAGGGUUACUGCCCCACCCACCCCGCCCCACCCAGCCCUACUCCAGAAACACAAUGUGUUCAAAAAUCCAUUUUCUGCCAAGCAUGGUGAUGUGCACCUGGAAUCCUAGCACUGGGGAGGCAGGGGGAGCAGGACUUGUAAAUUCAUCCUUAGUUACAUAGAGAAUUUGAGGCAAGCCUUGGCUACACAUACCUUGUCUCCAAAAAGAAAAAAAUAAUAAUUUUCAGUGUUUAGAAAAGAUCUGGGCUGUGUUUGUUUUUGCUUCUGAGAUCAAGCGACUGAUUCAAAAGAGCCUGGCAAUGCAGUAGAGCCUCCACCCGUUCUAGGCAUCGCUAUCAGGAAGGCUUCCAUUUUGUGUUUUGUUUUGUUUUGUUUUGUUUUGUUUUGUUUUGU